rnacentral:rRNA from 1 species
UGGGGAAUUUUGGACAAUGGGCGCAAGCCUGAUCCAGCAAUGCCGCGUGCAGGAUGAAGGCCUUCGGGUUGUAAACUGCUUUUGUACGGAACGAAAAGGCUCUGGCUAAUACCUGGGGCACAUGACGGUACCGUAAGAAUAAGCACCGGCUAACUACGUGCCAGCAGCCGCGGUAAUACGUAGGGUGCGAGCGUUAAUCGGAAUUACUGGGCGUAAAGCGUGCGCAGGCGGUUUUGUAAGACAGAGGUGAAAUCCCCGGGCUCAACCUGGGAACUGCCUUUGUGACUGCAAGGCUGGAGUGCGGCAGAGGGGGAUGGAAUUCCGCGUGUAGCAGUGAAAUGCGUAGAUAUGCGGAGGAACACCGAUGGCGAAGGCAAUCCCCUGGGCCUGCACUGACGCUCAUGCACGAAAGCGUGGGGGAGCAAACAGGAUUAGAUACCCCUGGUAGUCCACGCCCUAAACGAUGUCAACUGGUUGUUGGGUCUUAAUUGACUCAGUAACGAAGCUAACGCGUGAAGCUGACCGCCUGGGGAGUACGGCCGCAAGGUUGAAACUCAAAUGAAUUGACGGGGUCAUAGCUGUUUCCU